rnacentral:misc_RNA from 1 species
AAGAUCUCACCUCUUCUUGUCCCCACCGUCUUCACUGAAGGCUUCACUUUAUAUUUUCUUCUUCCGUUUCUUCUGGCUCCUCCUCGGCUGCCCAUAUUGUGUUCGCUUCUCUCUCCAGCACAGCCUACUGCGCCCCAGUGUGUCUAGCGGCGCAGCACCCCUCGGCGGUUGGUCACAGCGUACUUGUAUAGAGCGGAGAACAACACACACACGACUGCCUCCUCCCGAGUGUCUGCAUUGCCUGCCUUCUUCACUAUUUCCUCCCCGACCCUCAUACCACGGCACGUCCUCUUCCGCAGCAACGCAUACGCACCUUCGUCUCUAUUUCCUUGGUUGCCCGUCGUUCUUCUUGGUCAAGAGCCAUCCCUGCAAGAUACAGCAUCGCUUAUAACGCGUGCACAUCACAUACAAGUACGCACCGCACAACGCUCUGUUCUACCCCUUCACUCGAAAGCUCCAUCUCACACAAAGGCAGCGCUCAUCUUCAUUCCGCCGCCUUCCACAGCACGAGAACGAAAGAAAAACGAAGGAAAAGGGUAACAAGAGACCUCACACGCCUUCUCUCCCUUCCCCUCCACCCCUCCUCUGUCUACUGUAGCAACGCAGUGCCGCACUUCUUUGAUACACUCGACAGACGCGCCUCUUCACUUCCUCGUCUGUUUCACAGCGUCUUCGUUUUUACGCUCUUUUGUUUGGCUUUGUUGUUUUGUGUGCACACCACGCGCCAGCCGCCGACUACUCCCCCCCCCCUCCCCUCUACUUGUGCGUGAAGUGGACUCGUGAUUUCUGUUUGAGCCAACGCCUCCUUGGCGGCAUCUGCUCUGCCGCUUGCUGCUGCUUGUCAAAGUGAAGAAGUAAAUCAGGAGGUGGACACUCGCCUCGACACCUCUGUCGCUUUCCUUUUCGGCCUCUUGCGCAGUCUCCACCGCAUUCUCCUGCUGUCCGCUUCACUGCACUCUUAGCAGAUAAGAAGCGCAGCUUCUGCUCCUCUUUUCCCUGUGCACACUUGUUGUUCGCCUUCAUCAUGGACCCUCCUUCAGUCCCACCGUCGCCGCAGCAAGCGCCGAUCGAGACACCUGGCGGCCACCACCACGCCGUGGCGCUGCGCACCGAGUCCUCCAUCUCGCUGGACACCAUUCAGGCAGUCACCAUCAACCGUGAGAAACUAUCCGAGUGGCACCACAAGAUUCGUGCCAAGCUGUUCCCGAUGGUGUCCGGCUUCUUCGUGCGCUGCCGCGUGGAGGACUCGGUGGAUGGGCGGGCACUGUACAAGGUAGGUCGCAUCAAGAACCUGAAGCCGGACUGGUCCGUUGAGCUGGACCUCCUCACCACUGAUGAGAUCCGCGCUGGCCGGAACAACACCAACUAUGACUGCAUCAGCAACGCUAAGCUGUCUGCCGCAGAGUGCAACUCGUGGCUCGCUCGCGUGUCGCCAGACUUGCUGCCGGAUAUCACCUCUACCAUCUACCGCAUGGAGGAGCGCAUGCACAUGCUGGAGGCCGUCAUCUUAGCCGAGCCGGCCUUCCACAGCCGCCGCCGUGACGAGCGCCGCCGUGAUGAGCAGGCCACCUCCAGCGCCCCGCAGCUGCCGGAGAAGUACGUCUUCUCCCAGAAUGUUCUGCUAUGCGAGGACGACUACGUCAGUCUGCCACAAACGGUCACCAUUGUGGAUCUCUUCCAGAACGCGGUGGGCCCAAAGGGCGUAGCCGAGCCGGACACCCCACGCGCCGGCUGUGCGCCGAACACGCGCUCCCGCGUCGGUGACGAGGCAGUGGCGAGCCACAGCACAAUGAUGCAGCUGCAGGACAUGCGCAACUACAUGAACUCGCCGACGCAGCCACCAGUGGACCCGACGCGGCUGAUCGACAUGAUCCGUCGUGCCGCCAACCCGUCGCACAACAGCUUUACCUACGACAACCUGCCGGAGUUCUGCAAGCUGGUCAUCUCCGUGUGCAGCAUGUGCCGUGAGGUGGUGGCGAAGGAGCCGCUGUUCGUGCACCUGAAGUCUCCCAUCACCGUCUUCGGCGACAUCCACGGCAACUUUGCCGACAUGGGUUACUUCCUGGAGAAGGUGAUCGCCUUCGACGACGUGAUGCUCAAGUACACUAUGCAGAAUCUCCUGUUCCUCGGCGACUACGUUGACCGCGGCGUCUUUUCCCUGGAGUGCGUUAUGUACCUCUUUGCCUUGAAAGUGAUCAACCCCACCAAGGUGACGCUGCUGCGCGGCAACCAUGAGUCACCCGAGGUGAACGGGGACAUGGAUGUGUACGGCUACAGCUCGUUCAAGUACCAGUGCCUCGACAAGUUUGGCCGCGACCGCGGCAUGGAUGUGUGGGUGGCGGUCAACGAAGUGUUCCAGUACUUACCGGUGAUCGCCGAUAUCGACAAGAAGAUCUUCUGCGUUCACGGUGGCUUGCCGCAGUACUCCGGCGGCGAAGACAAGCGCCUCGAGAUUCUGUCCGACCCGAACUUUCCGCGGAUUCCGGUGGUGCAGUGCGCGGACCCCACCAACGUGGCGCAGCGCAUGAUGGUGAAUGACCUACUCUGGUCUGACCCUGCGCCGCCCGACCAGCAACUCGACCGCUACGGCUUCGGCCCCAACCCCCGAGGCCCGGAUAUCAAGACGUUUGGCUCCCGGGCAGUGGACAUGUUCUGUGAAAGGUACAACUACCAGUACAUUUUUCGCGCGCACCAGGAGAAGGCGGAUGGGCUACGGCUCUCCGACAACGCUCGUGUUGUCACCAUCUUCUCCACGUCUGACUACGCCGGGCACCAGAACGGUGCGGGCUGCAUUUUUGUGGCGAAUGGAAAGAUGCGCAUGGCCAUCAAGAAGCCGCAGCGGCAGGAAGUGCAGCGAGAAACAAAGGGACCGGUUUCACCGCGCACACUGUCCAAGAGUGCGCCUGGCUUUGUCGUGCGCAUGAAAAAGCCGCAGUGAGGCGGUUCUGGCCACCUCGAGGACAGAGGGAGAGGGGGGAAAGAGAAAGGCCUUGUGGUGCGUGCGUGUCUUCUGUCUCUGUGGUGUGAGGGCAAGGCAGCGUGGGAGAUGAGCGGUUGAUGUGACGGCGAAGGAAGACGGCGGCAUUGCCGCUACCCGACAGCUCUUCUCUGCACACGUGCACCUCUGGCGCGUGCAGUGACACUUGCAGUCGCCCUGCAUCUCCGUCUCCGAUUGCUCAAAGACCUGGCCAGAGCGCUCACAAGCUGUCUCACCACCACGUCACACCACGUUGUCCGCUCUCGACCUUUUGUGCCUUCCGCACCGCUUCCUCCUUCUCUCGUUUCCUUUGAUCUCUGCAGACAGUUCUCUGCUCUCCCUGGCGUUGUCGUUGACUCAUCCUUGACUUGUCUUGCCCACUCGUCCAACUCGUGUCCGUAUUGCGCGCGCAUGUUGCGUUUUCGCUUCUCCCACUCUCUCGCCCUCUGCCUCUGCCGCACACCCCCUUUUCCUUUUCCGGAACUGGAUGUCACGUGCUUCUGUUCUGUAGUUUUUCUUCGCUCUGGAAUACUGGGCGAUGGGGGACGCCUCAGUGCGCCGUAUCUCAGAGUCCAGCACCCCCCCCUCCACAGUCGCUGCGUUGGAAAGCCGGGCAGCCCUCCUAUGUCCCUGCCACGUGCCGAGCCGCUUCUGGUGGUGACGGGGCCAGGCGCCAACACUGCUGAAAACGACUGAGCGAUGUGCCGCUGGUGGUGUCGGCGGUCAGGUCCUGGACGGCGCUGCGUCGGAGCGACCUGCGACCGUGUGAGCGCGCUUGUGCCAUCCAUGCGAUCAGGCCGAGUGCCAGCGUGUCUCGUCCGGCCCCGACACUGCCUGCUGGUGUGGGGAACGCGAACCCCCCCCCCCGACAGCAGCACCAGGUGCUGACCAGCGUGAUGGAAGCGGCUGCGAGGCGACCUGCGAGACGGUGGCGGGCGGAGAGGUUGAGGCAGGGGCCGCUCACAGAUGGCCGCGUCAGCGCAUGUGGUGCAACGCUUGUGUGCCGCUGCGUGGCACCGCGCGGACGGGGUCUUGCGUGAGGGCUUUGGCUCGUGCUGCGCGGUGGAGCCGUGGACACGCGUAUCUGCAGAAAGCCAUGGCGGCUCGCUUACGGUUCUUCGCAUUCCCGUUCGUUGUGUUUCGUGUUCUUGCUCCCCUUGAGCCGCUGAUAGGCAGGGCCUCUUUCCUUUUUCGUAUUAGAACUCUUCUCUGCUGCUAGGACUCGGUGCCGGUAGGCGACGGUGCGCCCACUGGCGACGUUGAAAUAUCCGUCUGUUUGUGUAGGAAAAGAGAGAGGCGAUGGGCGGGGUGGGUGGGUGAGUGGGGCGUUGAGGAUGGCUUUCGACUUGUAAGCAUGUCCUUUCUCGUGCGCAUGCGUGCUCGCAUGUAUGUGGUCGUGCUCCUCCUCCUCGACCUCAGAUGGAUGGGGUGUAUGUGCCGUGCAAAGAGAACCCCCAAGGCGAGAGAGGCCGAUGAACGCUGAGAAGUCGAGCGGAGGGAGGAGAGGAGGCACCACGCUACGAGAGAAAAGAGGCAGAGACACGCACAGAGGGAAAGCACCCGCCAACAACAGAGGCAAGCCCAACACGUAACUAUGAAGCGCGAAUAGGAUAAAAGUUACCGAGUCAGAGAUGCACAUGUAGGAGCGUGCGUGUUCUCUUACGUUUCACGUGUGCGGCGGCCCUCAAGCCUGCUGGGGCGUAAAUCGAACUGCAGGCAUGUCGUCGUCGCCAGGGAGGCUGUGCAGCUCCGUCGCGGUGGUGCGGACAAUCAAUGGUUGUGGUGGCGGCGUUGGUGUAGGGAGGGAUAGCUGCGUCGUUUUACGCUGCUUGCUCGUGUACCCACUCCAUCAUGCUUUACUUUCUUUGUUUUCUCGCGAUGGUCUUUCUUACUGCCGCUGUGUGCGCUAGCCUCGCCGUGCGGUGUGUCUUCGCUGUGCCUUUGUAUUUCUAUAUCCACUGAGAGACCUCCAAUGUCCUUCACAGGGGCGUCUGCCUGAGUUGUACCUGUGUGUGUGUGUGUCGUCUCGCCUGUUGCCUCCAAGUGCCCGUCUUCCCCUUCUUCCACCCGCUUCAUUGUCUCUCGAUGUGGUGCACUGCCUCGUGUGCACAUUGCGCUCGUGCCGCUUUUUCUUCGCUUGGUUUCUCUCGGCUUCUCUAUUACCUGUGCGGGGACCUCGCCCCCUCAACGCAGAGAUGUGCGAGUUUUGUUUUCUGUGUGGGAGGGAUGAGGAGGAUGGUGCGUGUGGUUGCAUGGAGGCGCAGGGAAGUGGGCCAGCCAGCACGUGUGUGUGCGGAGGACCAGAGUGGUUCUGGUGAGGCGGGGAGAGAGACGGUCGGAUGUGCGCACCUCUUCUCUUACAAAUCCGGAAUGCUCCCCGCUUCCUCCAGCACCUUUACCCUCGCCUUCUUCUCCCUUUGUUGCUUUAUUGCUGUCUUACAUGAGGUGCGGGUUGUGCCCCAGACCAUCUUCGUUUUUUUUUCUUCGCUCCUCCCCCGCCCCCUUCACUUGCACUCUCCUUGGGACAGGAGGUCGAGGAAGUGCGAGAAGUGAAGGGGGAGUGCAGUCGUGAUGACACUGUGCCUGUGUAUGUUGUGCGUGUGCCUGUGUGUUGUGUUUUCCCGUGUUUUUUGUCCCUUCGCAUGUUUCUUAUCUAUCUACCUCCGACCCCUUUUUCUCUCUCCCCCUCUCCCUCUGUCCUUGAUUGUGUGCUUCUCAUAUGUGAUGGCUUGGCCUGCCUGCCUGUGCGCCUCGGCGUCUUGCUAUCCCGUUGCAAGGGGAAAGAAAAAUAUAUAUAUAUAUAUAUAUAUUAGAGCCAGCUUAUCAUGUGUGUGUGUGUGUGUGUCGGAGAGGAGACGACGGUCGAUGCCGGCGAUGUCAAGCUAUUUCUCGCGAAUCUUAAAAGCACAAGAGUAGAGACGCCUCAUGCUCACGCGUACACAUUCAUAAAGAUCUACACACGCUGCAAGGGGUGCAGAAGUGGCAUCGGGAAAAAGGAGGCUGCGGGAGUGGGAUGAAGACUCUGUGCCGCUUCUCUGUCGACCACUUGCGCUAACAGCGAUGCUGGAAAGGGGCGCAUUGUGAAGCACCGAGCAUGAGAAACGCAAAGAGACUCAUCUACAGCUUGCACGCAUGGCUGCCUGCUGAAGGAUGCGUGCGCAUGGAACCGUGUUCAUUGCUGUC